rnacentral:rRNA from 1 species
AUUGAACGCUGGCGGCAUGCUUUACACAUGCAAGUCGAACGGCAGCACGGGCUUAGGCCUGGUGGCGAGUGGCGAACGGGUGAGUAACGCGUCGGAACGUGCCGAGAAGAGGGGGAUAACGCAGCGAAAGUUGUGCUAAUACCGCAUAAACUCUGAGGAGAAAAGCUGGGGACCGAAAGGCCUGGCGCUAGUCGAGCGGCCGACGUCUGAUUAGCUAGUUGGGGGGGUAAAGGCCUACCAAGGCGACGAUCAGUAGCGGGUCUGAGAGGAUGAUCCGCCACACUGGGACUGAGACACGGCCCAGACUCCUACGGGAGGCAGCAGUGGGGAAUUUUGGACAAUGGGGGCAACCCUGAUUCAGCCAUGCCGCGUGUCUGAAGAAGGCCUUCGGGUUGUAAAGGACUUUUGUCAGGGAGCAAAACCUGUCUUUGAAAAGGGGACGGGGUUGAGAGUACCUGAAGAAUAAGCACCGGCUAACUACGUGCCAGCCGCCGCGGUAA